rnacentral:rRNA from 1 species
AACCGGAGCUAAUACCGGAUAAUAUUUUGAACCGCAUGGUUCAAAAGUGAAAGACGGUCUUGCUGUCACUUAUAGAUGGAUCCGCGCUGCAUUAGCUAGUUGGUAAGGUAACGGCUUACCAAGGCAACGAUGCAUAGCCGACCUGAGAGGGUGAUCGGCCACACUGGAACUGAGACACGGUCCAGACUCCUACGGGAGGCAGCAGUAGGGAAUCUUCCGCAAUGGGCGAAAGCCUGGCGGAGCAACGCCGCGUGAGUGAUGAAGGUCUUCGGAUCGUAAAACUCUGUUAUUAGGGAAGAACAUAUGUGUAAGUAACUGUGCACAUCUUGACGGUACCUAAUCAGAAAGCCACGGCUAACUACGUGCCAGCAGCCGCGGUAAUACGUAGGUGGCAAGCGUUAUCCGGAAUUAUUGGGCGUAAAGCGCGCGUGGGCGGUUUUUUAAGUCUGAUGUGAAAGCCCACGGCUCAACCGUGGAGGGUCAUUGGAAACUGGAAAACUUGAGUGCAGAAGAGGAAAGUGGAAUUCCAUGUGUAGCGGUGAAAUGCGCAGAGAUAUGGAGGAACACCAGUGGCGAA